UUAACUUCAAUGAAAAAAGCAUCAAAUAAGUAUGAGCUCUAGAGGCACAUGUUCACUGGAUAAGACUUCAGAGGGGCCUUCCAGUCUGGCCCUCAUAAGAAAGGAGAGAAGGGCUGUGAUGAGCUUCGGAAAAUUCUACAAGACGGAACCGUGCAGUAGAUGGCUGGUUUCUGGUGACAGGGAAAAAAGCCUGGCGGUUCAGAAGAAGAAGAGGAAGAAGAGGAAGAAAGCAGAUCUUCCUGUUUGGUCUCACCUUUGAACUUGACCUCCAGCACCUCGUUGAUGUUGUCGAGGAUGUCUCCGUUGGGACUGAAGGUGUGGCAGGGGCAGUGCACGCUCACUUCCAGACCCCGGUUGGUGUCUGAGGAGGAAAAAAAGCACACGGAUCAGAAGAGGAGAGAGAAUUUUUUGAGGCUAUUUUCCCUUUAAUCCAGAUGAACUUUCCAACACCCAUUGGCUCAUGUUUUGAUGAGCACCAUAUGGUGACAGAAGGAGGGCUGGUGUCUUACCCCGGUACAUGAGCCACUCUCUGACCGUCUCUGUGACGUCGAAGGAGAUCCACUCAGGUGUUCCUUUGGUCAGGACGUUCUUGCCUCCGAUGUAGCGCUGCUUGGCGAUGGGGUUGUCUGGUUUGAGAAUCUGCCAGGAAGAGGUGAAAGAGUGACCCAGCUGCACAACCUAGUUCUCCUGUUUAUUCUUUGUCUCCCUUACACACAUACACACAUACACAUCCAGACAUGCACACACACUCACACACACACACACACCAGACAGCUAUCCAGCCAGCGGCGUCUGAGACAGACUCUCUGGGAUGCCCUGGGCCAAAUGUCUUCUCAUGGAAAAAGUGACUCCCUGUGUUGAUAUCCCCAUUCUGCAUGUGAAUGCCUGUGUGGUGCCCUUCUGCUGCUGAGAGCCUGGCUGUCUCUCACAACAGCACCUCAGACUUCCACUGAACCUGGCUGUCUCUCACAACAGCACCUCAGACUUCCACUGAACCUGGCUGUCUCUCACAACAGCACCUCAGACUUCCACUGGGGAGCUAAAGGCUGGGGCUUCCACCUGCCACACAAGUCAGGAGAGGAGCUGGGUGUGUCACCAGCGUGCUUCUGACCUGCUCACUCUAAACAGCUCGUAUUUACAGGACCUGUGGACCAACAGACAGAAGAGCUCAGAGCAGCUGGACUGAGGAGACUAGUUUUGGCGGGGGGGAGAUCCGCAUUCUCUUACAACAGCACCUAACAUUUCUGUGAACAAAGAGUCUAAUCUGUUAGGAGAGGCCAGUGUAGCAGGGGGGCCCAGUGGCCGGGCCCGCAGCAGAGCUGGAUAACCAGGUUCCUGAACAUUGUCAGCAUCUAAUCUGGCUUCCUGUGGGAACGGGGGACCCCCGCCAACGCCAGCCUCUGCCAAUCAGCUCCCAGCUCAUGUGUGGGGGCGAGCAGCCUCGUUCACUCCCCCGGCCGCUCAGCCGGCCUCUAUCUCCUCCAGAGGCUCCUGGAAACAAUCUGGGGUCCUGACAGUCUGCGCCCAGCCCAGGCCAGAGCCCGCCUCCCAGGCAGAGUGCAGCCCAGACACGCUCGUCUCCCUGGCAGGAAAUGUUGGAACCUGAUCACUGCUCCCAGCGUCUCACGGGAGACUCACAAGGAAAGUGAGCAGAAAUCCAUCCCCGCCACCCCACACAAACACAUCUCACCAACAUACACACGCCACGGAAGAACACACAGCACCACACAAACACAUCUCACCAACACACACGCCACGGAAGAACACACAGCACCACACGAACACGCAAACACAGGUGCAAGUGUUUCAAUCCCUUGAAGAAAAGGCAGACGGACAGUUUCUGUGUGAUUGACAGCUGUGAAAGGAGAGACUGGUAAUCUAGACCUUCUCUGAAACGGCUGUAGCGUGGUCUUAAAUUUGUAUAAAUGGACUUAUGUAGAAUCCAUUUGGCUCCAGGCACAUGGAAUAAUGAUCAGCACUUUUGGAGUUUGGGGGCCCUGAUAUAAAUGUUUUCACUUUUUCCUUGUAGACUUAUAGACCCAUGAGGGUCAGAGGGCCACUGGACCAGAGCCCCCCCAGCCUCCCACGCCUUCGGCGGGAAAGGACGGCUGGUCGGAUCACACACCUGGUACAGCUCAAUCCUCUGCUCGUUCCUCUGGGCUCUGGGGUUUGGAACACGCAGGGCGCGGAACUCCGCACGGAACAGGUUGGUGGAGUUCUUCUCCAUGGCGGAGACAUUGAAGCGGAACACCUUGGAGGUGAGGCUCUUAGGACAGUAAGGCAGGUCAUCUGUAGGGGACAAUAAAAGAGGUUAUCUGUGGGGCAGGAAAGAUUUCGGGGAAAUGAAGAAGGUGACUGUGCACACAGGAGGACUAUGACGUGACGCGUCAUAUAUCUCUGUGUGAUCUUGGUGGAGUUAACCUUUGUCCUAUAUUUUACCCCCAAUUCAUAGCUGUCCUCUCCUCAUCCAAUCAUGGUGUGCUGGGUUUUCUACAGCGCGAUCUUGGCUGUUGUGAUUCUCAACAUACCCUGACGCUGUAGUAUAUCUUAUGUAACGUUUGGACCUACCGAGACCCUUGAUUGAAAAACAAACUUCUCUUAACCGUUUCUACCCAGUCAGAGUGAGCCCAGCGAGGCCCGUGCACCAUCUGUUUGUGCUUUGUACGGUCCGAGUUAGCAACAAGUUGAAGUCAUGAAAUGAAAACCAAAUGUCCCAUGUGCUGGGGGAACAGGCUGGAUGGAGGCAGAACCCUCCUCCCUCCAGCUCUGCUGUGGAGCUCAACAGGUGCUGCGAGGGCCAGGACGGGAGCCAAGCCUGGACGCACGUGGCCAGGGUGGGAACAUGUGCAGGCGCGGACCGGAACUGAACCAUACCUGAACCAGAGGGCUGAUAUCCUCCGCUCGGGGCCAAGGUGAGGAUUCUGACAUCAGCAGGAGCGUGACAUCGCUGGCCGCAGGCCCCUUCACACAAUACUGCAGCCUCAGUGACUCGUUCUUCUGGUAUGUCUCUGGCUGAUACGGCAGGAACAGGAGGUGGGGGAUCUCCUGCGAGCCUGGCCAGGAAGGCCUAAGGACAGACUUUGAAUAGCUCUGCUCUAAAGCUUCUCAUAAAGCGUCCACCCAGACAUCUCUCCCCCCUCCCCAGCCCUCGGCUUCCUGUGUCUGGGAUGCCCCUCCAUGGACCCGGCGCUUCUCCCUGGCAGCUGACAUCACACAGAAGCUCUGUCUAAACGCUCCCAGAGAGCAGCCCCUGCCCUGUGGCCUGGGGGCUGGCCGUGAUGUCAGUCUCUCCACAGCUAUGCGGAGGUAAACAAAGGAAAUAGAAAGCGUGGAGAGGCAGGUGCUGUGCAGCUGCUGAGGAGGUCUGGUCCUGGUUUACCGGAGAGAAAUGGCACAAGCGAAGCAGGAACGGCUAUUCCAGAAGUAUUUAAAUCAUCAGGAAAGAUGUUGGGAUUCAAAAGUACACUUUGUCUGUUUGUGAUGUUUUCACAGGUAAUGAUGGAAGUAGUGUCUCCUUCAGAAGUCAGAAGCUUGUAAAUGUUACUCCCCACUUAGGGUAGGCAACAAAUUAUUCUUCAGAACGGUUGGUGAAGGUUUAAGAAUGUACUUCGGUAGACUGACAGCAGAGCAAGUCGUUUCUCCACAUCGUCAGUGGUCCUGAGAAGAUCCCAGCACAUGUAAGCUCUCUGUGGCUGACUGCUGUGGAUGAGAUAAUCUGAUGGAGUUCACUGCUGAAGCAAGACAGCUUUUUUCCACUUGAUCAAGGAUGAAGAGGGAAAAAUGGCCAGGGCACGGCAGAGGCUGUCUUUUAGAACCGGCCAGAGGACUCUCUAUGACAUCACUUUUCUACUAUUCAAUAUAUCAGAAACAGUGCUGUCCUCAGCUCCAGUCCACAUCAAUGACUACCUUAUGCCAGAGCAAGACCACUCACAGUAAGACUCUUCCACAGACUGAAUUUGCAUCAGUUGCAACUAAAUUAUGAGAACCAAAAGGUGGUUUCCUUUAAGGGGUCAUUGUGGUUCAGUGGCUGUCUUUGGACAACCUUACUACAGCAGCGGUGACGUGAGUAAUAGGAUUCUCUGUGAAUGACGAGCAGGCUUUGUGUUUAGUACACCUGGGUUUGUACAGACUGAUACUGUCUAAACUAGCCCUGUAUGACUCUGUUGACUGGUUGGUCACUGGCGAUACAAUCAACAUUCUGAGUGCACUUUAUUAAAACCAUUUAUAUUAUUCAGAUUGGAGAGACUACUUUAGUUAAAUUGGGGAAAAAGUGACAAAUGUGAGAAUAAUC